rnacentral:sRNA from 1 species
UGUCCGAAGCUCGCCUAGAUGGCGCCGGU